GAGAAGGAAAAAAUACAAAUGAUAUAUAGAUAUAUAUAUAUAUAUGUAUAUAUAAUUAGUUUUAUUUUUAUUUCACUGCGAGUACGACGACGCGUGUAUAAUAGGAUAUGUACACACGUAUAUGUAUUUAUUUGUUACGAUUAUAAUUUAAACACGCGACGAGAUCUCUUGGAGAAAUGUACAUACAAACAAUUCCUAUCGAUUCCGCGAACAAACAACGUCAGACUGUGUUUCCUCGAUGACGCUCCUGUAUGUCUGGUGUUGGUAUUCCGUCAGUAAUGUACAGUAAGUAGUAGUUAGUAUUAUACUAUAGUAAUAUAGUAGCGGUCCUCGUCGUCAAUUGGUGGUGCGUCGGUUGUGUGUGUGUGUGUGUGUGUGUGUGUGUGUGUGUGGUUCACGAAAGAAAAUAAAUGAGAAAGAUAAAAAGAGACACACGGAUAUAAAAAGAAAGAAAACGGGAUGAUGAUAAAAUACGAGAAAUGACGAAUAACAAUUUGGAGGUUAGGAGGAACACGCCGUUGGUUUUUCGUUACUGACUACGACGACGACGACGACGUAAACGAUAAAUACAACGUUCGGCGUUUGAUAAUUACGUUAAUGACAAUAGCGAUAAUAACGACGAUUGCAAAAAAAAGAAAAAACUAACGGAUCUCUAUCCUCGAAAAAGAUAUAUAGAUAAAUAGACAAAGAAAAAGACAGAUAGAUAGAUAGAUAGAUAGAAAUAAAGAAAAGAUAGCGAAACGCGACAACGAGGUGCUGGUGUGGUUUCCUUUUCUCUUUCAGUCCUCGUUGCCGAUCCCACACGACGACGGUGGCGACGUUCGAAGCUCCUUCGUGACUUCGCGCGCGCACGAGACGAGCAGGAGCGUGACGACGACGAAGGUUAGGUGGGGAAGUGGGAAGGAGGUGGUGAACAGGCAACGGAAGAGUAUCAGCACCAGUAGAGCGUAGGAGUUGAUAUACCCCGACGGUGGUCCCGCAUUUUCCACAGCCGAAAUAGAUAUUACGAGCAACGCGGAAGAAGAAGAAGAAGAAGAAGUGGUAAUAGUAAUAGUGUAGUAGUAGAAAUAUAAACUUCUUCAGUCCAACGACGAAAAUGUAAAUUUUUUACCUUUACCGUUGAUAUAUCUGUUUGCAUCAUUUCCCUCGCGUUUCUUCUUCAAGAAGAUGCCGGAAUUCUUUUAACAACAAUACGUGUUCCUGUAUCCUGUUUUUUUUAUAUAUAUAUAUAUUUUUUUUUUAUUUUCUAUUACUAUUAUAAAAUUUGUUUCCAUUCUUGUAUUCCGAUGUUUAUUUCGACUUUUAA